rnacentral:rRNA from 1 species
AACGAACGCUGGCGGCAGGCCUAACACAUGCAAGUCGAGCGAUCCCUUCGGGGAUAGCGGCGGACGGGUUAGUAACGCGUGGGAAUAUGCCCAAAAGGUAGGGAAUAGCCUCUGGAAAACGGAGAUUAAUACCCUAGUGUGCCCUUGGGGGAAAGAAUUUAUCGCCUUUGGAUUAGCCCGCGUUGGAUUAGGUAAGUUGGUGGGGUAAUGGCCUACCAAGCCUACGAUCCAUAGCUGGUUUGAG